rnacentral:rRNA from 1 species
GAUAAACGCUGGCGGCGUGCCUAACACAUGCAAGUCGAACGAACUCUUUCCUUCGGGAGGAACUUAGUGGCGGAAGGGGGCGUAACGCGUGGGUAAGCUGCACUGACCAAGGGGACAUCAGCUGGAUACGGCAGCUAAUACCGCAGAAGACCUUUGAACUGCAUGGUGCAUAGCGAAAAGGAGCAAUCCGGUUCAGGAGGGAACCGCGUCUGAUUAGCCAGUUGGCAGGGUAACGGCCUACCAAAGCGACGAUCAGUAGCCGGUCUGAGAGGACCUGCGGCCACACUGGGACUGAGACACGGCCCAGACUCCUACGGGAGGCAGCAGUGGGGAAUAUUGCACAAUGGAGGAAACUCUGAUGCAGCGACGCCGCGUGAAUGAUGAAGUAUUUCGGUAUGUAAAGCUCUAUCAGCAGGGAAGAUAAUGACGGUACCUGACUAAGAAGCCCCGGCUAACUACGUG